rnacentral:lncRNA from 1 species
UGUCCCAUCGGAUCUCGGGGCCUCAUCAUGGGUCCACAGAAUCAAAUCGUCUUGAGGAACGAGCGGACGUAACCCCAGCUCCCCUCGUUUAAUAAGAUCUGGGACACGUGGAGCCCCGAUGAGGCCUCCACUUCUUCGGAAUUAUGAUCCAGUAACAUGAAAUCGAAAGCGUCCGACCUCGGGUCGCGCCGCGUGUCCGUUUCAAACCCCGUAACGGCACACUCAUUAAUGAGCCAGAAACGUCGAUUACGGAAUCGAGACACCGCCUCGACGAGCUCGAGGUCCCCCAUUAUUAAUCCACCGUAAAAUGAUCCAAGAAGCAUGAUGAUACGAGCUCCAUCAUUAGCUCACCGAAUAAAGCAGCCUCGAGACGCCAAAGGGCGCAUAUCUCACCGUAAAAGCUCCGGAAAGCACAAGGGGGCGGGCGAGACCUUCCCCCCAACCUUAGUGACAGACUUUACUUCCCACGUCCGAGCCCCACAAGCCGCUCGAACUCG